UGAACAUGGUUAGUGAGUGCUUCAAUGUC
rnacentral:piRNA from 1 species